rnacentral:misc_RNA from 1 species
AAACCGCGAUAACUGAUGUGAAUUGCAGAACUACGUGAAUCAUUGAAAAUUUGAACGCAUUGCGCCUCCGGGUUUCGACUCGAAGGCAGGCUUACUUGAGUGUUGACUCUUUGUUCCAUAUUAAAGCCCUAAAUAGGCCUUAAAAUAUGGGUAUUGGCGGUCAUAAGAGGUAGCCAUCCCGCUUACGUCCUGCUCAAAUAUCAAAAGUCGCUCUCUAAUAAUAGUUGAGCUCUGUAACUUAUCUUAGCUAGUGAUAUCUAAGAAUAAGCCAGAGCCUCUUUUUUAGGUGGCCUCUGUUUGAAAAAAACUAAAUCAAAGGGCCUUCUUAUUUAAGAAGGCCCUUUUCAAAUUUCAACCUCAAGCUAAGUCAGAACACCCGCUGAAUUUAA